UACGUAGGUGGCGAGCGUUGUCCGGAUUUACUGGGCGUAAAGGGAGCGUAGGCGGACUUUUAAGUGAGAUGUGAAAUACCCGGGCUCAACUUGGGUGCUGCAUUUAAAACUGGAAGUCUAGAGUGCAGGAGAGGAGAAUGGAAUUCCUAGUGUAGCGGUGAAAUGCGUAGAGAUAUGGAGGAACACCAGUGGCGAAGGCGGCUUCCUGGUCUGUAACUGACACUGAGGCGCGAAAGCGUGGGGAGCAAACAGGAUUAGAUACCCUGGUA
rnacentral:rRNA from 1 species